rnacentral:pre_miRNA from 1 species
UCUUAUGGAUGACCAAGGAAGUGGUUUCUUGAGAUGGAAUCUACUUCUGGCGAAGAUGCUGUGAA